rnacentral:ncRNA from 1 species
AUAAAAACGUUGAAAAAGACGAUGAUUUCAUAGAAUGGAUAGAGAGUUCGUGGCUGGUGGAAACGGAUCAUUCAGAAAUCGGAGAACACUUUGGAGUUGCUUGAAGAAAUCAGUAGACCAAGCCGGGAAAUACCGUUAUCCAAAAAUGAGAGGUUGCAAAAGAGUAUCGUUUGCAACAAUCAGGGUGGUACCGCGGAUUAAACAGAAAUUCGUCCCUAGU